rnacentral:rRNA from 1 species
UGUUGGGGUAACGGCCCAACAAGCCAUUGAUCGGUACGGGUUGUGGGAGCAAGAGCCCGGAGAUGGAUUCUGAGACAUGAAUCCAGGCCCUACGGGGCGCAGCAGGCGCGAAAACUUUACAAUGCGAGCAAUCGUGAUAAGGAAACCCUGAGUGCCUGUCAAUGCAGGCUGUUCUGGUGUCUAACACACACCAGGAGAAAGGGCCGGGCAAGACCGGUGCCAGCCGCCGCGGUAAUACCGGCUGCUCGAGUGAUAGCCGCUUUUACUGGGCUUAAAGCGUUCGUAGCUUGGUCGUUAAGUCUCUGGGGAAAUCUUUUGGCUUAACCAAAAGGCGUCUCAGGGAAACUGGCGAUCUUGGAACCGGGAGAGGUAAGACGUACUUCGGGGGUAGGAGUGAAAUCUUGUAAUCCCCGAGGGACGACCGAUGGCGAAGGCAUCUUACCAGAACGGCUUCGACAGUGAGGGACGAAAGCUGGGGGAGCAAACCGGAUUAGAU